GGGUUGUGAGGUUAAGCGACUAAGCGUACACGGUGGAUGCCCUGGCAGUCAGAGGCGAUGAAGGACGUGCUAAUCUGCGAUAAGCGUCGGUAAGGUGAUAUGAACCGUUAUAACCGGCGAUUUCCGAAUGGGGAAACCCAGUGUGAUUCGUCACACUAUCAUUAACUGAAUCCAUAGGUUAAUGAGGCGAACCGGGGGAACUGAAACAUCUAAGUACCCCGAGGAAAAGAAAUCAACCGAGAUUCCCCCAGUAGCGGCGAGCGAACGGGGAGCAGCCCAGAGCCUGAAUCAGUGUGUGUGUUAGUGGAAGCGUCUGGAAAGGCGUGCGAUACAGGGUGACAGCCCCGUACACAAAAAUGCACAUGCUGUGAGCUCGAUGAGUAGGGCGGGACACGUGGUAUCCUGUCUGAAUAUGGGGGGACCAUCCUCCAAGGCUAAAUACUCCUGACUGACCGAUAGUGAACCAGUACCGUGAGGGAAAGGCGAAAAGAACCCCGGCGAGGGGAGUGAAAAAGAACCUGAAACCGUGUACGUACAAGCAGUGGGAGCACAGAGCAAUCUGUGUGACUGCGUACCUUUUGUAUAAUGGGUCAGCGACUUAUAUUCUGUAGCAAGGUUAACCGAAUAGGGGAGCCGAAGGGAAACCGAGUCUUAACUGGGCGUUAAGUUGCAGGGUAUAGACCCGAAACCCGGUGAUCUAGCCAUGGGCAGGUUGAAGGUUGGGUAACACUAACUGGAGGACCGAACCGACUAAUGUUGAAAAAUUAGCGGAUGACUUGUGGCUGGGGGUGAAAGGCCAAUCAAACCGGGAGAUAGCUGGUUCUCCCCGAAAGCUAUUUAGGUAGCGCCUCGUGAAUUCAUCUCCGGGGGUAGAGCACUGUUUCGGCAAGGGGGUCAUCCCGACUUACCAACCCGAUGCAAACUGCGAAUACCGGAGAAUGUUAUCACGGGAGACACACGGCGGGUGCUAACGUCCGUCGUGAAGAGGGAAACAACCCAGACCGCCAGCUAAGGUCCCAAAGUCAUGGUUAAGUGGGAAACGAUGUGGGAAGGCCCAGACAGCCAGGAUGUUGGCUUAGAAGCAGCCAUCAUUUAAAGAAAGCGUAAUAGCUCACUGGUCGAGUCGGCCUGCGCGGAAGAUGUAACGGGGCUAAACCAUGCACCGAAGCUGCGGCAGCGACGCUUAUGCGUUGUUGGGUAGGGGAGCGUUCUGUAAGCCUGCGAAGGUGUGCUGUGAGGCAUGCUGGAGGUAUCAGAAGUGCGAAUGCUGACAUAAGUAACGAUAAAGCGGGUGAAAAGCCCGCUCGCCGGAAGACCAAGGGUUCCUGUCCAACGUUAAUCGGGGCAGGGUGAGUCGACCCCUAAGGCGAGGCCGAAAGGCGUAGUCGAUGGGAAACAGGUUAAUAUUCCUGUACUUGGUGUUACUGCGAAGGGGGGACGGAGAAGGCUAUGUUGGCCGGGCGACGGUUGUCCCGGUUUAAGCGUGUAGGCUGGUUUUCCAGGCAAAUCCGGAAAAUCAAGGCUGAGGCGUGAUGACGAGGCACUACGGUGCUGAAGCAACAAAUGCCCUGCUUCCAGGAAAAGCCUCUAAGCAUCAGGUAACAUCAAAUCGUACCCCAAACCGACACAGGUGGUCAGGUAGAGAAUACCAAGGCGCUUGAGAGAACUCGGGUGAAGGAACUAGGCAAAAUGGUGCCGUAACUUCGGGAGAAGGCACGCUGAUAUGUAGGUGAAGUCCCUCGCGGAUGGAGCUGAAAUCAGUCGAAGAUACCAGCUGGCUGCAACUGUUUAUUAAAAACACAGCACUGUGCAAACACGAAAGUGGACGUAUACGGUGUGACGCCUGCCCGGUGCCGGAAGGUUAAUUGAUGGGGUCAGCGCAAGCGAAGCUCUUGAUCGAAGCCCCGGUAAACGGCGGCCGUAACUAUAACGGUCCUAAGGUAGCGAAAUUCCUUGUCGGGUAAGUUCCGACCUGCACGAAUGGCGUAAUGAUGGCCAGGCUGUCUCCACCCGAGACUCAGUGAAAUUGAACUCGCUGUGAAGAUGCAGUGUACCCGCGGCAAGACGGAAAGACCCCGUGAACCUUUACUAUAGCUUGACACUGAACAUUGAGCCUUGAUGUGUAGGAUAGGUGGGAGGCUUUGAAGUGUGGACGCCAGUCUGCAUGGAGCCGACCUUGAAAUACCACCCUUUAAUGUUUGAUGUUCUAACGUUGACCCGUGAUCCGGGUUGCGGACAGUGUCUGGUGGGUAGUUUGACUGGGGCGGUCUCCUCCUAAAGAGUAACGGAGGAGCACGAAGGUUGGCUAAUCCUGGUCGGACAUCAGGAGGUUAGUGCAAUGGCAUAAGCCAGCUUGACUGCGAGCGUGACGGCGCGAGCAGGUGCGAAAGCAGGUCAUAGUGAUCCGGUGGUUCUGAAUGGAAGGGCCAUCGCUCAACGGAUAAAAGGUACUCCGGGGAUAACAGGCUGAUACCGCCCAAGAGUUCAUAUCGACGGCGGUGUUUGGCACCUCGAUGUCGGCUCAUCACAUCCUGGGGCUGAAGUAGGUCCCAAGGGUAUGGCUGUUCGCCAUUUAAAGUGGUACGCGAGCUGGGUUUAGAACGUCGUGAGACAGUUCGGUCCCUAUCUGCCGUGGGCGCUGGAGAACUGAGGGGGGCUGCUCCUAGUACGAGAGGACCGGAGUGGACGCAUCACUGGUGUUCGGGUUGUCAUGCCAAUGGCACUGCCCGGUAGCUAAAUGCGGAAGAGAUAAGUGCUGAAAGCAUCUAAGCACGAAACUUGCCCCGAGAUGAGUUCUCCCUGACUCCUUGAGAGUCCUGAAGGAACGUUGAAGACGACGACGUUGAUAGGCCGGGUGUGUAAGCGCAGCGAUGCGUUGAGCUAACCGGUACUAAUGAACCGUGAGGCUUAACCUUACAACGCCGAAG
rnacentral:rRNA from 1 species